rnacentral:tRNA from 1 species
GUUUCCGUAGUGUAGCGGUUAUCACGUCACCACACACGCGAAAGGUCCCCAGUUCGAAACUGGGCGGAAACA